UUUAAUGAUUCUUAUCCUCUUCAAGCUGUGUAUCUACACCUAUAAAAAUGUAAGGCCUCAUCCGUUGAGAACCAUCCUCUUCAAGCUGUGUAUCUACACACACACCAUCCUCAUCCGUUGGUGAUGUCUUAUAUGUAAUCUCUCUUCCCUUCCUAUUUUAAAAAAAAAGAAUCAGUUCUUUAUGAUUAUAAGAAAAUGUUUGCCUUUUUGGUAUGCGAACGAGGCAAAAUAGUUUCUAACUGUUGCAGAUGUUCUUCUACGGCUUCAAGCCUGUUAAAACGGGGAUACCACUUCUGAACGUGUUCCGUAGAGGAAUUAUGGAGCUAAUGUACAAAGUCCAAAUGCAGUUCUUCGAGGAUGCAAAGCUUAUGAGAGGAGGUCACUAUAUGAACUUGAUGUCCUCGCUGAAGCCACCAUCCUCAACUGGUUCCAUAAACGAACCAAUGCAAAGGGCAUGCAAACCAUUGUCAAAAACCUAAAUCCAUUUGUGAAUUGGCUUCAUGAGGAAGAUGAAGAAGAGUCGGUGAACAAAAUUUUAUGAUUUCUUCUUAAUUUUGUUCUGUAAUUUAGUUUCUUAUCUAAAAUAAAUAAUUUUAGAGUGUCUAUGUCUUUUAACUAUUUUGCUUUCUGAUAUGUUUUGCUGCAUUCUACCUUUUUGAUGUAUUUUGGCAAUAAGUUUUACUUUCAGAUGAUUGUGCUACUUUUUUGGUUUACGAUUUUUCUGUCUCCCGAUUUUUAUAUUGGGUUUAAAGCUUCUGCUAACAAAUUCAUGCUAAAGCACAAUAUGCAAAAUGUAUGGUUAUGCAUUCUUUUCUUAUAAACUUUGAGAUUAAUAUGUAAUGUACAUAUAAUAUUAGAUAAAAAAUAAUCACUGUUUUGUUAAAAUGUGCGAAAUAUAUAUACAUAACUGUGCAAUUAUACUGUCACUAUGUUCAAUGUGUCAUUAUAAUUCCUAAAAUGAAUAGUAAAAUACACUUAUAAAAUGGUUUUGAAAUAAUUUUGAACCUUAAUGAUAUUUUUUUUGUUAAAAGUAAAUUGAAAUUUUAAAUAAAUUUUUACUACAAGUUAAUUAACUCACCCGUCAGUUGUAAAACAAUUUUGAACCUUAAUGAUAUUUUUUUGUUAAAAGCAAAUUAAAAAUUUUAAAUAAAUUUGUACUACUAGUUAAUUAACUCGCCUGCCCGUAGGGCGGAUUUAUCCUAGUUUAUUUAACAUAAACAUUCCUUUUCGCAAGAUUUUGUUAGAUAAAAAUGGAAAUCUCAUCUUUAUAUAUAUGUUGAAUCAGAGAGAACUCUUUUGACCUAGAAUAAUGAAAUAGAUAUGUAUUCCAAAAUGAAAUUAGAAACAUACCAGACAAAGAGGUUAAAGAUAAGGAUUUUGGUGAAAUAUUUAGUCAUAUUGCAUAUGAAAAAUCUUUGAUCCUCUUCAGUUGUGAUAUGAAUGUUAUUUAUGACAUACAUAGUUCAGGAUGUGGUCCGGUGCGAGUUAGAUUACCCUAGCAUUGUUGCAUUUGAUGAGAGGGUCUGAUGAGGACAUCGGUUUUGACUUUAAGCCCUCACCUAACUAAAAGAACCCAAGAAAACGGUCAUGGAGAACAAACUCAACCAAAAAGAACCAUAAACGGAGCAACAACUCGAUAUUCAUCAACCAAGAAACCAAAAAUAAUCACUUUGAUCAAAGGAGAUUGGCCCAGAGUUGGUCUUAUCAAAAAGAUGGCUCAUAACCUAUCUAUUUGCCACCCAUGAAGCUACAAAGGGCCAAACCUGACCAGAACCCUCUAAAUAUGAUAUGCCCUAGUUCGACAAACACUUGGAUUAUCCAUAGGAGCCUCUUUGCUAUCCAAACUUGCUAUGGAUAUUCGGUUCUCGGUCUAGUUUCAGGUAUGUUCUUUCGGUUCUAGAUGUUUAUGAUCCAUGUAGAUACCAUCCUAUUUUCGGUUUGGAUCUGUUCGGUUAUUUUGGAUUUUGGAUCAGUUCAAGUAUUGAUAGUGGAAAAUUGCCAAAAGCCAAAAUAGUUUCAGGUUCUAUUCGCUUCCUAUUUGGUUUAGUUUGUAGUAUAAUAACCAAACAAAAAUCCAGAAAAGAACAGAAAAACCGUAAAAUAUAAAAAUCGAAUAACCUUUUACACUUUUCGAUAAAAAACAAAAAAAGUAUCCAAAAGAACCAAAAAUUAAACCUAACCAAAAUCGUAAAAAAAAAACAUGAAAACAUAAAUUAUCCAAAGAAAAGUACAAGCAUUAUCAUUCAAGCAAAGUACAAGCAAACAAAAGUUUCAACUUUCAAACAUACGUCUUAUUCUCACAAUCUGAUAACAAACAUAAUCGGAUACCAAAACUCAAACUCCA